rnacentral:tRNA from 1 species
GCCGGGAUGGCGAAAUUGGUAGACGCAUGGGACUUAAAAUCCCCCGCCCGUUAGGGCGUGCGGGUUCGAUUCCCGCUCCCGGCACCA